rnacentral:rRNA from 1 species
AUUGAACGCUGGCGGCAUGCCUUACACAUGCAAGUCGAACGGCAGCAUGGAGAGCUUGCUCUCUGAUGGCGAGUGGCGAACGGGUGAGUAAUGCAUCGGAACGUACCGAGUAAUGGGGGAUAACGUAGCGAAAGUUACGCUAAUACCGCAUACGACCUGAGGGGGAAAGCAGGGGAUCGCAAGACCUUGCGUUAUACGAGCGGCCGAUGUCAGAUGAGCUAGUUGGUGAGGUAAAGGCUCACCAAGGCGACGAUCUGUAGCGGGUCUGAGAGGAUGAUCCGCCACACUGGGACUGAGAAACGGCCCAGACUCCUACGGGAGGCAGCAGUGGGGAAUUUUGGACAAUGGGGGCAACCCUGAUCCAGCCAUGCCGCGUGAGUGAAGAAGGCCUUCGGGUUGUAAAGCUCUUUCGGCCGGGAAGAAAUCGCACAGGCUAAUACUCUGUGUGGAUGACGGUACCGGCAUAAGAAGCACCGGCUAACUACGUGCCAGCCGCCGCCGUAA